UCGUAGCUCAACACCCUCGCUGUGAAGAUCUUCCGAGUAGUGAUUUUAAGGCAGCUGAUUCCACCGCCAAGGAGCACUGCACGACACGCUGCCCUAAAUAGCUUCCCUGCCAAUUAAUCUGUCGGUGUAUCCUUCAAGUCACUCUUGCGAACACAUUCAUCAGUUACUCCGUCUUUUAUUCUGCCAGUCGUCCCGUCACCAUGCCCUCAUCUGAGAGUAAAGAAGAGAAAGCGGCGAAAUUGGCGGAAAAACCGGUGGCGACUCUGAACAGUACGUGGACCACCACAGUCAGAGCAACAUGCAGCAUACCAUCCUAUCAAGCCGUGGCAGGGAAAAGCUUGUUGAUCUUAACUUCAUUUACGCUGCACAGAAGAAAACGCUGAUGGAGCCAAGCAAUACUGGCGAUGUGAGGUCACUGCAUGCAAGGCUCGUGUUCACACAACUGUAGGGAUGAAACCUUCGCUGUCGUGAAAAGUGUGAACAAGCACAAUCAUUCCACGACCGCUGCGGCUGUGACGGCGAGGGAGGCCAUGGUCGAGUUGAAAGCUGUUGCUACUUCCACUCAAGAAUCCUCUCGCUGGUGUGCCCGUCAUGCUGAUCAUUUGAAGUUUUCUAAAAACUGUUCGUACGGCAGCGUCGUCCUCGGACUUUGUACCCUCCCCAUGACCUUUCACUUUCCUUCCUGAUGAAUUGAGAGAGUCUUCCAUUUUUCCGGGACUUGGCUGCAGUCUUCAUGGGCGGCUUGGUUACUUCCUUUGGUGGGAUAGGUCUCGGCCUACGGUGGGCAGUCGGUGUUCAAGUUUUAUAUAUAAGUAUAAGGGUCUGUUAUUUUUAAGUUUCUGUAGUAUGGAAUCAGACAAGUAUCUACGCGGCUUGGUUCUCAUGCUCAGUUUGCCUCCCGCAGGUACCUAUCAUCUUACUGUGUGCAGUUACAAAGCCGCUAAAAGACUUCUUCAUCAGACAACUUCGUCAACGUCAGCCGUUUAUGUUUGAGCAGUCUGCCGCCUCCUUCUACUGGUGGCUGAUGAAUUUCAUUAGCAAACCCUGUCCUAUGCCCAACGCGGAAGGCUUGGCGGCGGUGCUGCUGGAGGCCAAGCGCUUGGACCUUGCACCCAUCGUGCACCUCUGUCGCAUGUACCUUCCCACCCUCCGCGACCCGAGCUCCUUCCCGCACGUGCUGAACAUCGCCGUGGAGACGGACGACGAAGAGUAUCUGACCCAAUGCAGCGGAGUGUGUGCGACAAGAGCCUGGGGGUGCGUGAGGCGUCUCUGAGCACAUGCUUGGUGCUGUAGGGUGCUUGGAGCUCGCGGAACUGGGAUUACAACGGUCACCUGUUCAACUUUCUUUGGCAAGAGCCACCUAUACCAGAGGGACGGGGUUCACCUCUCAUGGGAGGGGGUACAGAUCUUGUCUGAUGCCCUUGAACGUGGACUGGGGGCCCUGCAGGUUUUUUUAGGAUGACAAUACCGGCGCCUCCGGGACUGAAGCGAGCAAUGCUGCUGAUGGGGAUGGUGCAGGAAGGGACAGCCUCCACGGUGCCUCGGGUGACAGUGCAUCGGAGUCGUGCUGGUUUAUAAUGCGAAGAAACCUUUAGAGGAGCAGCUGCAGGAGGCCAUGGAGGACUUUGAGGAGCAGCUGCAGGAGGCCAUGGAGGACGCGUUUCCUUAGUGCAGAGGAUUUUAGUUGUUCUGCGGACCGUUUUGUCUAGUGGCCGAGGCCGAGGCAGCGUUGUUUUAGGUGUUUUCAGCUUAGCGCGCGUUACUUGCAUGGAGUCCUAUGUGCGCUCGAGCAAUAGAUUCUUUUGUCACACAGGAUCGGAUUCUGUCCUUGUACGUAAAGCUUUGGUUUUAUAUUUACAAGAUUUCACUAGUCAUUUUUUUAAAAUCUUCAGUAUUUUAUUAGUUAUUUUACCUGAUAAUUAUAGGCUUGAUAUGGAACUGUUUUAAUCAUAUAGUUACUGUACAAAUAGUGUGUACAACUUAGUGCUGCAGAUAUGUAACUAAGAAAUGUUUUUGGGACCAUCUUACCCAUUCUGUGCAACUUGAGCCAAGGUAUCUUAAUAAAGCUAAAUUUAAGUUAAUUCGUGAGUAUUAA